rnacentral:ncRNA from 1 species
UGACGGACUUCUGGAGAGACCUAGAUAGACACAUUUCUAUCAUUUAAGGCGCCGAAGGGGCAAGGUAGCAUCAGCUGCCCAAUCUCUCAGGCAAAAGGACAGAAGAUAAGUU